GCACGCACGCACGCACGCACACUAAAUAUUUCCUAAGGGUUUCUUGUCUGUUGUGAGGUGUGCAUCUUUAACCCCAUCAACUUUGGAGGCAGAGACAACUCGGAUCUGAGUUAAAGGGUAGCCAAGUCUAAGUGAGACCCUGUGAAAACAAAAAAGCUCCUUGUAGGUCUUAGCCCUUGAAUCUUAGUGUUGUUUGCGUCUGUCUCCUAGCUUCGUGAAAUGAUUGGGGCUGUAUCACGUGGUCGUUACUCUUCAUAAUCUAGAAUUCACCUUAAUCACGACCUUAGUGACCCUCAUCAGCCAUUUCUCUAACAGUAUCCUUAAUUAGAGUUACCGUCAGGCUCCAGUAGGUGGCUUAUCUCUGAUUAAAAAGAAAAAAAAAAUCCUAAAACUGUCUUCAAGAUGGAGACUGGGGAGCUAGCUCGGUCAGUAGAGCGCUUGUCUAAGCGUGAGGACCUGAGCUCAAACCACAGACCCUAUAUAAAAAGCCAGGCAUGAUCCAUGUGAUUGCCAUUCCAGUGUUGGGGACGCAGAGCUCAGAGCUCAUGGCUAGCCGACUUGCCCCGCUAUUGAGUUGCAUACACCUAAGAGAUGAAUGGCACCUUAUUUUUCAAGAAACACUCUUAAAAGCUGGACAUGGUGGUGCACGUCUGUACUCAGCACCCGGGAGAUAAAAAGCAGGAUACAGGAUUCAAAGUCAUCCCCUCCUUAACUACAUGAGUUUCAAGUCCAUUUUAACUACACAAGACCUUGUCUCAAAAAAAAAAAAAAAAAAAAAAGGAUUUGAGACAAGCUUAACUCCAAAUAAUUAAAUAAUUUCCAACUGCUGGUAAAGCAACAACCCCUUACAAUUAGAGAAAGUGAGCUACUUGGCUUGUUUUCUUAAUCUGCCUUUAGGCAGCUUAGACACAGGAAAUGCAUGUUUGACAUUCUGUUCCGUAUACUAAGUUUACUAAGUGCGCGAGUGACGUAAUUUCCUGCUCGGUGUUAGCAUAUUUUGGUCCUGACCCAAAGAUGCCUCUAGGUAUCUAUCUAUACCCUCUGUUAGCCAUUUGAUUCUGGGCUCUACAAGUUUAACCCAGAACAGAGUGACACAGAAAAGAUCCGCUGCAGAGAGAUUUCGGCAUGUUCCGUGUCUGUCCACAGUGGGCAGGCUGCAGACCUGGCUACAUACCUGUGCUAUGUAUUUCUUCAGUAAUGUACAGUCCUUCUCUGUAGGUCAGCCCCCCUACCACAGGGGUUCCUGUGGCUGGAGCCAGCUUAGGGUCAAAUGCAUCUAUGUCAAAGCUCAGGUGGAUCGGCCUCUUCCUCCUGGCGGGGAAAGGACGAGAGACUAGGUUACGCUGCAGCCUUCACUCUGUGGAACGCUUUGCUUCAGUCAUACACUGAGUUAGCUUCAUUACGUGAUAGUUGUUGAAUGAACAUAAUAAUCCAGUUUUAUGCCUGCAAAUUUAUCUUCCCAUUCUAACUUGAGUGCAGGUAUCCCAUGACUAAAACUAACAUCAACAUCCUUGUGGCAGAUAACUAACUUCUUGGCAGCUUAGAGAAUGACGAGACGGCAGUUCUGAUAUUGACCACCCAGAAGCAAAGCCCCCAUUGUUGGGAAAAGGAGCCUAACUAGCAUGUAGUUUUAUGAUCAAUAAAGAACUCAGAUGAAGCAAUAACGAGGUUAGGAAGAACAGCACUACUGGAACAGUCAUGAAGGCUUCUCAUCAAAAGAUAUAAAAUUGAAAACAGUUUAUAAGAAACAGGAUGGGUUACUGACUUAGCCCCUCCCAAAUCAGAAAAAUAUGAUUUAUGAUUGAUACUAUGACUUUCUGAACUAUUUGAAAAUACAUGUACAUGUUUUAAUUUUCCUUGAGACGUGAAAUUACUAUGCUCAAUGUGUGGGCUUAAGUGUGCUGCUCUCCCAUAACUGCCCUGCUUCUUCCUGACACCUAGAAGAGUAGACAUUUAUGUCAUUUCUUACUUGCCAAUCAGCCGAUCAAAUGUCUGUUCCAUGACCUUCUGGAUACCAAGUCGAUCAAUAUCUCUCAUGGAGAAAUACUGGAUGUCAAAACUCUUUAAAAUAAAGCUGGUAAGAUAAAAGGGAAAA
rnacentral:lncRNA from 1 species